AGGGAUUCACAGCCUCAUAGGCUAGAGUCUUUGCUUGCCUUUCCUAUUCUCCUCUCCCUCUCCACCUCAGAGUAGGCCUGGAGUUUUGAGGAGCGUCGUCGCAACCCUGCUGUGUGGAUCACCGCUAGAGAGGAGGACGCUUGACCUCCUUCACCCUCUACUAAGGAUCUGCAAGAAAACAGGGAUAUACGAUCUCCCUAGGUAACACAAUCUCUAUACGCAGUUUUGUGUUUUGCGGAUUUUUACGCACCAAUCUUCGCACGACGACGAACAUCUUUUUGGGAAUCGGGGAUUUUUGUUUUCUUGUUCUUCCGCUACGCAUAUGAUGUCUCCCCAAAUGAUUUCCCAAUAGACCUUACGAGGGCUAUUGAGUGUCGAUAGAGGAUCAUCCACUCUCGGCGUCAUGAGAGGAAUAUCCCAUGUGUUCUUGCUCAGACAAAUCCUCGGCUAGGGUCAUUCGGGUUGAGAGAGAAAGAGUUCUCCGGGAGAAUCCGAUUAGAGCAAGACUCCAGUAGAAACCGUAUGGGUCUGACAGCACCAUGCUCGAUAUACGGUCUCUGGGAUAUUAGAUGGAUGAGGGACUAUAGGUAAACGGUAACUGAGGACAGACAAGUCCAAUAGAUUGGAUUCCCCUGUAUCGUCUGGGGACUACGGCGUAGUGGCCUAGUACGUCCGUAGUCGAUGAGUCGAGUGAAUUAUUACAGAGAUAAUAAUUCACUGAGUUAGAAGGAGUUCUGACAGGUAUGACUCAUGGACAGCUCGAUAUUGGGCCUAGAGGGUCACACACAUAUGGUAGGCAUUACGAUGAGUAGAGGUUCAGAUAUGAGAUAUCCGACGGAGCCCUUGUCUUAUUGGAUGCAGAUCCAAUACCCACUAAGGAAGGACCCAUUAGGGUUUGACUCGGGAUCUCUAUAAAUAGGAGGGAUUCACAGCCUCAUAGGCUAGAGUCUUUGCUUGUCUUUCCUAUUCUCCUCUCCCUCUCCACCUUAGAGUAGGCCUGGAGUUUUGAGGAGCGUCGUCGCAACCCUGCUGUGUGGAUCACCGCUAGAGAGGAGGACGCUUGACCUCCUUCACCCUCUCCUAAGGAUCUGCAAGGAAACAGGGAUAUACGAUCUCCCUAGGUAACACAAUCUCUAUACGCAGUUUUGUGUUUUGCGGAUUUUUACGCACCAAUCUUCGCACGACGACGAACAUCUUUUUGGGAAUCGGGGAUUUUUAUUUUCUUGUUCUUCCGCUGUGCAUAUGAUGUCUCCCCAAAUGAUUUCCCAACAGACCUUACGAGGGCUAUUGAGUGUCGAUAGAGGAUCAUCCACUCUCGGCGUCAUGAGAGGAAUAUCCCAUGUGUUCUUGCUCAGACAAAUCCCCGACUAGGGUCAUUCGGGUUGAGAGAGAAAGAGUUCUCCGGGAGAAUCCGAUUAGAGUAAGACUCGAGUAGAAACCAUAUGGGUCUGACAGCACCAUGCUCGAUAUACAGUCUCUGGGAUAUUAGAUGGAUGAGGGACUAUAGGUAAACGGUAACUGAGGACAGACAAGUCCAAUAGAUUGGAUUCCCUGUAUCGUUUGGGGACUACGGCGUAGUGGCCUAGUACGUCCGUAGUCGAUGAAUCGAGUGAAUUAUUACAGAGAUAAUAAUUCACUGAGUUAGAAGGAGUUCUGACAGGUAUGACUCACGGACAGCUCGAUAUUGGGCCUAGAGGGUCACACACAUAUGGUAGGCAUUACGAUGAGUAGAGGUUCAGAUAUGAGAUAUCCGACGGAGCCCUUAUCUUAUUGGAUGUAGAUCCAAUACCCACUAGGGGAGGACCCAUUAGGGUUUGACAGGAGACCUCUAUAAAUAGGAGGGAUUCAAAGCCUUAUAGGCUCGAGCCUUUGCUUGCCUUUCCUAUUCUCCUCUCCCUCUCCACCUCAGAGCAGGCCUGGAGUUUUGAGGAGCGUUGUCACAACCCUGCUGUGUGGAUCAUCGUUAGAGAGGAGGACGCUUGACCUCCUUCACCCUCUCCUAAGGAUCUGCAAGGAAACAGAGAUAUACGAUCUCCCUAGGU
rnacentral:lncRNA from 1 species